rnacentral:misc_RNA from 1 species
UUUCCGUAGGUGAACCUGCGGAAGGAUCAUUCAUAAUAAAGUGUUUAUGGCACUUUUUAAAAAUCCAUAUCCACCUUGUGUGCAAUGUUAGAUCUCGUCAAUCUUGGCGAGAUUUUUAUACAUCAACUCAUUCUUUAACUAAUUUGUCUGAAAAAUAUUAUGAAUAUUUAAUUCAAAAUACAACUUUCAACAACGGAUCUCUUGGCUCUU